GGGUGGCACCGACUUCCGGUCAGGGUGCAGGGACGAUGCAAGCGGCCUGAGGGCUCCCGGGGGCCAGGCCGGGCCGGGCCAGGCUAGGCCAGGCUAGGGAGAGAGAGAGAGAAAGAGAGCUCGGCAGCAGAACAGCCACGAUGGCUCGAAUUCCCGUGGGCAAAGUUCUUCUGCGAAACGUCAUUCGUCACACAGACGCACACAACAAGAUUCAAGAAGAGUCAGAAAUGUGGAAAAUUAGAGAAAAAGAGAAGCAAACACAUGAGAUGAGACUUUUCCAGCGGAGAAGGAAAUCCUGUGAGAGUUUGCCGGGCAAUAGAAUGCGGUGUGAUGGGUACGAUGAAGAAGAUGAAGAGAAAGAGAGAACAGCAAACUCUGCUGCUCGUAAGUCAUUGACCACUCCACAAGAUGAGCGUGAAACAAGAUACUGGACAAAGAAGCUGUAUGAGUUUGAAGCAAGUGAUCCGAACAGAUGGGGCCACAGUGGCUACAAAGAGCUUUAUCCAGAGGAAUUUGAAUCUGAGAGUGACCAAAAAGAUAGCAGCGAUGAACGCACUGCCAAUGGAACAAAAGCCAUAUGCUUGAAGUCUUCAAAAUCAAACUCGCGAAAACGCAAGCGAUCGAGUAAAUCAAAUAAAAAGAAACGCAAGAAGAAAUCUAGCAAAAAGAUGAGGAGGAAGAAACGUCUACGGAGCAGUGAUUCUUCAAGUGAUAGUGAAAGCUCAGAGGAGGAGGAUUCUGAUCAGAGGAAAAGGAGGAAAGUGAAGAAGAAGCACCACAGAAAAACUGCGCGAAAGCAGAAAAAGUUAUCAUCCACCUCCUUUGAAAGCGAAAGCAAUUCGUCACACAGCAGUGAUUCAGACACAACUAGCAAAGAUGAAAGUGAUUCUGGGAGUCAGCUAGAGAAAAGGAAAAAGAAAAGAAAGAAAAAGCGUCACAGGAACAUUCCCAAAGACGAUGGUGAUAAAGAAAUAAAAAAUAGCCGAAAGAAGAGAAAAAACUGGAAAAUAGCGCACAAUGAUACUUCAGAUGACAGUGGAGAAGAUGACUUGAAUUAGAUUUGUACUUUGAAAGUCUGUUCUCAAGUUCCUAAGGAAAUAACUUGAAUCGUGUAAACUGAGUCAGACUAAGAACAUAAUUUUGGUUUUACUGACUUAGUUCAAAAAUUGUUUAGUGCUAGUUAUGAAUUUACAUUUUGUGCUUCAGGAGAUUGUUGCACAAAGCAGGCCGUACUCCAGAAAGCUCUUUCACUUGGUGUAAAAGUGAUGUCUACUUUAUCUAUGUACCACUGUGCUGCCACAGUAAGUGAUAAGGUGUGGGAUUAAGAGUUUAGGAGCUAGGCCUGUCCGAAGCAGAACCAUGUGACAAGUUGCUCAAAAGCUGCUUAUCUUCUCUUGGUUAUGAAUGCUUUUCUGUACCACACCAAAAUUCUGGAAAGAUAUUGUCGUUGACUUCAGAGUUACCUGUAAUAUAUCAAGCCCUGUGUCUGAUUUCAUUUUGCAGAGCUCUUCGGUCAUUCCAAACAGGCAAAGUCCAUGAAGUUGCUUAACACUUAAAACUGCACUCUGCAAUUUUGUCGCUGUCAUUUUGCUGGGAACUUGAGUUGUUAGUUCCAGAAAGGUGGAGAUUAUGGCAACCAAAGUGACCUUUGUUCUGGUUGAGAGAUAUGCUGCAGAAACAGAAAUUGCUGGAGAAACUCAGCAGUUUUGGCAGCAUCUGUGGAGAGAAAACAAAGUUAAUGUUAAGCUGCUUCAAAAGUACCUCUUGAUGAAGCAUUUGAUCAUCUGCUUUAUUGAAUCUUCCUUUGGCUCAAUCUCAGUUCCUGUUUCAUUGUACUCCCAGGAAGCUUGUGUAAAGGGGUUAUGUAAAUACAAGUUGUUAUUGUUAUUGGGCUCUUCACCUCUCUGGAAUGUGUGUACAGAACAUUGUGCGAGGAUCAUGGCUAUAAAUUAUUAACAUUUUCAGGGAUUUUUUUUCUUCAGGAGAAUUAAGCGUCUCUGUGUUAAGACCAAGCAUGGAACUAAUCUAUCUUCCCGUUCUUUUUGAUCCAGUUUUGUGUAUGAUCUAAAUAAUAUAGACUAUCAGAAAAGCUGUGUUGCAAAUUAAAGCACUCAGUUCCAUCAGUGAACUCCAGGAUACUUCUUUCAAGCAAAUAUCAGCUUCGAAGAACAGUCACUUCAAAAUCUUUAAUAUAAAAUUGACACUUAAGGGUUUAUCAAGGUGAAGGUGGUUUCAACUGUAUUAGAGCUCAGUAACAGGGUAAUGAGGUCCCUUAUCAGCUAUGAGAGUUUAAGCAGUUUUACCAAUUUAGGGAGUUAUAUAGUGUAGGGCUAUGCACACAUGGCACUGAGUUGUGACUUGUCUAAACGUGGAGCUACAUUGCUCACUCUCCAGAAGUUCAGGAAUACAUGGAGUCAUUCUGCACCCGGGUCACUGUCACAGAAAAUGCUUUGCCUUUGGUUUGGCAGCAUGAACAACAGCAACAAUUUACAUUUCUGUAGCACCUUUAAUAUAAGUACCCCACGAUGCAUGUAAACUUCAGGGCUAGAGGUUAGACUGAUGAUAUUUGAACAAAGAAUUCUGAAAAGAAUGAGUCGGAAUUGGAGGUGACAAUAUGUUUGAGGACCUUAAAAAGGCAAAAGCAGUUAACAAUGUGGUUUGGGGGUGGUUGGGAGAGUUAGGAGCAGAACAAACUGCACCAUUAAUGGUUAUUACUAGCAGAAUAAUUGGGGACCGGAUACCACAAUUAGAUAAUUAGGUGAGUUAAAAGGUAAUAAAGACAUGGCUUUAAUCUUAGGCAGCAAACCAUAAAGUUAUACACAUCAGGUUCUGCAAAGGUUGUGGAAUUAGUUAAACAUCCCAAGUCUGCUGCUGAAUACUUCUGCUUCAGAACUAGCCAGCUUUUACAGCUAUAGCACUGGCAUGUAUCCAAAAAUGUGGCAAAUUGCCAGUUACAUCCUGUCCAAAAACAGGGUGAAUUCAAUUCAGCCAAUUACCACCCUAUUAGUGUAUUCUCAAUUGUCAGCAAAGUGGUAUAUCGACAGUGCUGUCACACAGACACUUACUCACCAAUAACCUGCCCAGCGGUGCUUAAUUUGGAGUUUUGCCAGGAUUACCUGUCUCCAGACCUUGUUUCUACCUUGGUCCAACCAUAAACAAAAGAGGUGAAUUUCAGAUGCAAGGUGAAAGUGGUUGCCUGGACAUCAGAGAGUGACAUUAAAGCAUUCUAGUCGAAGUUGUUGGGAUUUGUUGGUUUGGGAGGAGGCGGGGUGAUUUUCAAAGAUCUGCUCUUGUGGAGAGGAUGUUAGCUAAUGAUUGCAUAGUGUUGACUUUAAUUUGCAACUGCUCACAUAAUGAAGCAAUCCAUGCCGACAUGAGGCAAGACGUGGAUAUUGUUCACACUUAGGCUGAUAAGUGGUAAGUUGCAGUCACACCAUACAAGUGUCAGGUAAUGAUCAUCUCCUGCAAUAGAGAAUCUAACUAACUUCCUUUCGAUGCAUUCUCUGAAUUUUACCGUUAUGUUAAUACUGUAACAUGAACUUGGAGACUAGGUUGUUAUGGAGGAAAGUAUCCGGAGAUUUAUUUACAGAACAACUAAAUACGUUACAACUUUAUCACAGACAUUCGUAUGGUAUCAUUUAGUGGACUGGUUGACUAAUUGACUUUCCCGAUAGAUUACAAAGUUACAGCAGUAACAGUGCUAAUUGUUAUUCAAGAUGUAGUUGAUACCUUUACAUGAGAAUGUCAUGUGGAUGAUAUUACACUGAUAUCAUCACUUAAUUCCUUAAAGGUAUAUUCUUGCCCAAUCGUAGAUACUUGUGAUACCACAACACUCUUGGCAUUCAAUGGCAUUACCGUUACUGAUUCCGCCACCAUCAACAUCUGGGGAGGUCACCAAUGUUGAGAAACUGAACUGGACUGGCCAUGUAAAUACUGUGGUUACAUCAGCAGGACAGACUCAGAGUUCUGUGAUGACUAACUGACCUCCUGAUGCCCAAAAUCCUGGCACCAUCAACAAAUGUGAUUAAAGAUGUGUGCUUUAUAUAUCUAGAUAUUAAUAUAAUUAUUUUAGAGUUUGGAUUUUAAACUAAUGGUAUAUAGGUUUGAUCUGUUUUUGUGAAGAGCUUUAAUAAUUAACUAGGUCAUUUUUAUUGGAACCAUGAAUUUAAGCCUGUAUGUGUCAUUAAACUGAUAACAGGAGGCUUCCUGGAGAAUUAAUAGAAGUUUAUAUAUGAUGGGGUUUUAUGAUAGAAGAGGGAAAACAUACAUUGAUAGUGGCUUUCUUUUGAGUUUAGAAUAAUCAAGGAUUGUAGUUCGAAGGAAGUCUGACAGAAGGCAGAUUUAGAAUAGUUUCUGCUAGAAAAAAGGCGUUUGUUCAGAUUCAGAGCAGUAAAGGGAGUAAGUUACCUCAGUUUAAGAAUUUCAGUUGUGUGAUUCAAAGAAAAAGGCUUUGGAACACACAGCAAUGGAAGUGGAAAUAAGAAGCCAAGUCAACCUAUAGUCUUGACGGGGAAAGAAAUUUUAUCCUAAUUUUCAUUGACUGGAAAGUGAUGGUGUUAGGGAGUAAAUGGGAUUUUGUUUUGCCAAUUGUUUCAAAUCUUUUAUGUUGUGUUAUAUGUAGAAGUUUAAUUUGUGUUGUUAUUUUUUGGGGAGAAUAAACUUGGGUUUUAUUGUCAUAAUCACAUUUGCAGCGUUG